rnacentral:rRNA from 1 species
GACGAACGCUGGCGGCGUGCUUAACACAUGCAAGUCGAACGGAAAGGCCCUGCUUUUGUGGGGUGCUCGAGUGGCGAACGGGUGAGUAACACGUGAGUAACCUGCCCUUGACUUUGGGAUAACUUCAGGAAACUGGGGCUAAUACCGGAUAGGAGCUCCUGCUGCAUGGUGGGGGUUGGAAAGUUUCGGCGGUUGGGGAUGGACUCGCGGCUUAUCAGCUUGUUGGUGGGGUAGUGGCUUACCAAGGCUUUGACGGGUAGCCGGCCUGGGAGGGUGGCCGGCCACAUUGCGACUGCGGUACGGCCCAGACUCCUACGGGAGGCAGCAGUGGGGAAUAUUGCACAAUGGGCGGAAGCCUGAUGCAGCAGCGCCGCGUGCGGGAUGACGGCCUUCGGGUUGUAAACCGCUUUCGCCUGUGACGAAGCGGGAGUGACGGUAAUGGGUAAAGAAGCACCGGCUAACUACGUG